UUGGAGGGCAAGUCUGGUGCCAGCAGCCGCGGUAAUUCCAGCUCCAAUAGCGUAUAUUAAAGUUGUUGCAGUUAAAAAGCUCGUAGUUGAAUUUCGGGAUCAAUAUUUCGGUCAUGCCGUUGGUACGCACUGUUAUCAUUGAUUUCUCACCUUCUAAAGAACCGUAAUGCCAUUAAUUUGGUGUUACGGGGAAUCAGGACUGUUACUUUGAAAAAAUUAGAGUGUUUAAAGCAGGCUCACGCUUGAAUACAUUAGCAUGGAAUAACGGAAUAGGACGUUUGAUUCUAUUUUGUUGGUUUCUAGGAUCGACGUAAUGAUUAAUAGGGAUAGUUGGGGGCAUUAGUAUUCAAUUGUCAGAGGUGAAAUUCUUGGAUUUAUUGAAGACUAACUACUGCGAAAGCAUUUGCCAAGGAUGUUUUCAUUAAUCAAGAACGAAAGUUAGGGGAUCGAAGACGAUCAGAUACCGUCGUAGUCUUAACCAUAAACUAUGCCGACUAGGGAUCGGAUGAUGUUAAUUUUUUAAUGACUCGUUCGGCGCCUUACGGGAAAC
rnacentral:rRNA from 1 species